UUUUUAAAACCCUAGGUAGUAUAUUUAAUAAAAACCCCUGUCUUAUGGUAGUCUUUAUAUUUUAGAGAAACUUGCUUUAUAAUCGAUAAUUCACGGUAAUUUUCACUUAAUUUAUACAAUUUAUAUACCGCCAUUAAUAAACCUUAUUAAAAAAUUAAAGUUUAAUAUUUUUCUUCAACCAAAAAUUAGGUCAAGGUGUAAUUCAUAAUAAAGAAAAAGUUAGUUACAUUAAAAAAAAUUUAAGGAAUCUAAUUAAAAUAAUAAAACGAAAAAGAAUUUAAAUGUACAUUAAAAUUAAAAUUUUUAGUAGAAUUUAAUUAUAAAGAUGC
rnacentral:rRNA from 1 species